AUUGAACGCUGGCGGCAUGCCUUACACAUGCAAGUCGAACGGCAGCGCGGGAGCAAUCCUGGCGGCGAGUGGCGAACGGGUGAGUAAUACAUCGGAACGUGCCCAAUCGUGGGGGAUAACGCAGCGAAAGCUGUGCUAAUACCGCAUCCGAUCUACGGAUGAAAGCCGGGGAUCGCAAGACCUUGCGCGAAUGGAGCGGCCGAUGGCAGAUUAGGUAGUUGGUGAGGUAAAGGCUCACCAAGCCUUCGAUCUGUAGCUGGUCUGAGAGGACGACCAGCCACACUGGGACUGAGACACGGCCCAGACUCCUACGGGAGGCAGCAGUGGGGAAUUUUGGACAAUGGGCGAAAGCCUGAUCCAGCCAUGCCGCGUGCAGGAUGAAGGCCUUCGGGUUGUAAACUGCUUUUGUACGGAACGAAACGGUCUUUUCUAAUAAAGAAGGCUAAUGACGGUACCGUAAGAAUAAGCACCGGCUAACUACGUG
rnacentral:rRNA from 1 species